rnacentral:rRNA from 1 species
AACGUAGGGGGCGAGCGUUGUCCGGAAUCACUGGGCGUAAAGGGUGCGUAGGCGGUCGAGCAAGUCUGGAGUGAAAGUCCAUGGCUCAACCAUGGGAUGGCUCUGGAAACUGCUUGACUUGAGUGCUGGAGAGGCAAGGGGAAUUCCACGUGUAGCGGUGAAAUGCGUAGAGAUGUGGAGGAAUACCAGUGGCGAAGGCGCCUUGCUGGACAGUGACUGACGCUGAGGCACGAAAGCGUGGGGAGCAAACAGG